rnacentral:rRNA from 1 species
GAUGAACGCUAGCGACAGGCUUAACACAUGCAAGUCGAGGGGCAGCACGGGAGUAGCAAUACAACUGGUGGCGACCGGCGCACGGGUGAGUAACGCGUAUGCAACCUACCUAUCAGAGGGGAAUAACCCGGCGAAAGUCGGACUAAUACCGCAUAAAACAGGGGCACCGCAUGGUGGUAUCUGUUACAGAAAUUCGCUGAUAGAUGGGCAUGCGUUCCAUUAGGUAGUUGGUGAGGUAACGGCUCACCAAGCCGACGAUGGGUAGGGGAACUGGAGGGUUGGUCCCCCACACGGGUACUGAGACACGGACCAGACUCCUACGGGAGGCAGCAGUGAGGAAUAUUGGGGAAUGGGCGGGAGCCUGAACCAGCCAAGUCGCGUGAAAGAAGAAGGAUCUAUGGUUCGUAAACUUCUUUUGCAGGGGAAUAAAGUGCGGGUCGUGUCCUGUUUUGUAUGUACCCUGAGAAUAAGGAUCGGCUAACUCCGUGCCAGCAGCCGCGGUAAUAC